GUAUAAAUUUUAACAAAGCCUUCGAUUAAAUAAUAUGGAUCUUGAUCUGUUUGACCGUAACCUCAUUGAAGUUACAAUACAAUUUAAUGACGUCAACAACUUUCUCUGAGAAAAUUGUGGUUUAACUUUUUCGUCAAUGAAAUCAAUGGAAAAGCACAAGGAAAAAUUACACCAGUUCUCUAAGUUAAAUUUGAAUCUUUUUGAUAUUUUCACCAAUGCUGCCAAGAACUGUGAAUAUCCUUCUUGGCUUGUUUUGCCAAAUAAAGUGCAAUUUUUUUUUCCAAAAACCCCCCCCUUUGGGGGGGGAAAUACUUUACUAAAAAAAAUAUCUGAAUUGCUCCAGACUGAUUUUAGUUCUGAGAUUCAUUGGUCUCCGAAUGCCCAGAAAUUUGGAGACGCAGACCUAAAGUUUAUUUUAGGCUCCAUGUUGCCUCAAAUAGUUCAAAGCCUAAAAAACGCGAAAACCAAUAAAGCCAUUUUGCUGUGACAAUAUCAGCAAAGAACAAUUGGAUGUAAUUUCAUACAUUGGAGGAAGAAUACUGAGGAAAAUUUAUUAUUAAGCGAGCAACCCAAUGGAGCAACAAUUGAUUAAAGAGCUGAGCAGUGGGGAGCUUCCAGAGUCUUACUCUCAGAGGAACCGUGGUGGCUUGUGGCCCGCGGCAACAAGCAUUGUCCAUCUUCUACAGGAAACACAACAGAUUUUAAACAAUAUUAUUUCUAGUUCUAGCAGCGUUAAACAAAUUCCAAUAACAGAAACAAUAGAGAAAGUAAGCAUGGAUCACUUGAUUUAUUUAGGUAACCAAUAUCCUGAAUUUUUAAUCCAUAAAGUUGGAUCACUUUGAUAAAAACAUACAUUAUAACUAUAGGUUACGGUCAUGCCAAACGUGUUACUCAAAUUUCUGUAAAUUCCAAAGCUAAUGGUGAGUUGAGAAAAAAACUCAGAACCAACCAGCCAUAAUCUUCUUUUCCUAAAUUUAAUUAAAGGGGAACUCAAGUCGAAUUUUAAUAUUUGUGUACAGAUGGUCCUUACUUAGUUGGUUCACUUUUUUCUCUC